AAGGAGUCUAACAUGUCUGCGAGUAUUUGGGUGUCAAACCCGUGCGCGCAAUGAAAGUGAACGUAGGAGCCACCCGCAAGCUGCACCAUCGACCGAUCUGGAUCUUCUGUGAUGGAUUUGAGUAAGAGCAAAUAUGUUGGGACCCGAAAGAUGGUGAACUAUGCCUGAAUAGGGCGAAGCCAGAGGAAACUCUGGUGGAGGCUCGUAGCGGUUCUGACGUGCAAAUCGAUCGUCAAAUUUGGGUAUAGGGGCGAAAGACUAAUCGAACCAUCUAGUAGCUGGUUCCUGC
rnacentral:misc_RNA from 1 species